UACAGAGGGGGCAAGCGUUGUUCGGAAUUACUGGGCGUAAAGGGCGCGUAGGCGGCCUGUUAAGUCGAACGUGAAAUCCCUGGGCUCAACCCAGGAACUGCGUCCGAUACUGGCAGGCUUGAAUCCGGGAGAGGGAUGCGGAAUUCCAGGUGUAGCGGUGAAAUGCGUAGAUAUCUGGAGGAAUACCGGUGGCGAAGGCGGCAUCCUGGACCGGCAUUGACGCUGAUGAGCGAAAGCUAGGGGAGCAAACGGG
rnacentral:rRNA from 1 species